GAUGAACGCUAGCGGCAGGCUUAACACAUGCAAGUCGAGGGGUAGAAGGAGCUUGCUCCUUUGAGACCGGCGCACGGGUGCGUAACGCGUAUGCAAUCUACCUUUUGCAGAGGAUAGCCCAGAGAAAUUUGGAUUAAUACCUCAUAGUAUGUGAGGAUGGCAUCAUUUUCACAUUAAAGUCACAACGGCAAAAGAUGAGCAUGCGUCCCAUUAGCUAGUUGGUAAGGUAACGGCUUACCAAGGCUACGAUGGGUAGGGGUCCUGAGAGGGAGAUCCCCCACACUGGUACUGAGACACGGACCAGACUCCUACGGGAGGCAGCAGUGAGGAAUAUUGGACAAUGGGCGAAAGCCUGAUCCAGCAAUGCCGCGUGAGUGAUGAAGGCCUUAGGGUUGUAAAGCUCUUUUACCCGGGAUGAUAAUGACAGUACCGGGAGAAUAAGCUCCGGCUAACUCCGUGCCAGCAG
rnacentral:rRNA from 1 species